rnacentral:rRNA from 1 species
UACGUAGGCAGCGAGCGUUGUUCGGGGUUACUGGGCGUAAAGAGUGUGUAGGCGGUUCUCUAAGUUCGGUGUGAAAUCUCCCGGCUCAACUGGGAGGGUGCGCCGGGAACUGGAGGGCUUGAGUAUGGGAGAGGGAAGCGGAAUUCCUGGUGUAGCGGUGAAAUGUGUAGAUAUCAGGAGGAACACCUGCGGUGUAGACAGCUUUCUGGACCAUCACUGACGCUGAGACACGAAAGCGUGGGUAGCAAACAGG